rnacentral:rRNA from 1 species
UACGAAGGGGGCUAGCGUUGCUCGGAAUUACUGGGCGUAAAGGGCGCGUAGGCGGACAGUUAAGUUGGGUGUGAAAGCCCGGGGCUCAACCUCGGAAUUGCCUUCAAUACUGGCUGUCUUGAGUGUGAGAGAGGUGUGUGGAACUCCGAGUGUAGAGGUGAAAUUCGUAGAUAUUCGGAAGAACACCAGUGGCGAAGGCGACGCCCUGGCUCAAUACUGACGCUGAGGCGCGAAAGCGUGGGGAGCAAACAGG